AGUGAACGCUGGCGGUAGGCCCAACACAUGCAAGUCGAACGGCAGCACAGUAAGAGCUUGCUCUUACGGGUGGCGAGUGGCGGACGGGUGAGGAAUACAUCGGAAUCUACUUUUUCGUGGGGGAUAACGGAGGGAAACUUACGCUAAUACCGCAUACGACCUACGGGUGAAAGCAGGGGAUCUUCGGACCUUUCGCGAUUGAAUGAGCCGAUGUCGGAUUAGCUAGUUGGCGGGGUAAAGGCCCACCAAGGCGACGAUCCGUAGUUGGUCUGAGAGGAUGAUCAGCCACACUGGAACUGAGACACGGUCCAGACUCCUACGGGAGGCAGCAGUGGGGAAUAUUGGACAAUGGGCGCAAGCCUGAUCCAGCCAUACCGCGUGGGUGAAGAAGGCCUUCGGGUUGUAAAGCCCUUUUGUUGGGAAAGAAAAGCAGCAGGUUAAUACCCCGCUGUUCUGACGGUACCCAAAGAAUAAGCACCGGCUAACUUCGUG
rnacentral:rRNA from 1 species